GAUAUUUUGAAAACCUGUUCAGGUAGCUCUGAAACUUGAACACCGAAAUAGUAAAGGAUGCAAUUUUGGCCCACCUUACGAGUGGCAAGUGUACAAUACGCUCAAUAGCUGUUAUGGAAUUCCUGCUGUACAUCAUAAGGGUCGUCAAGGAGAUUUUUACAUCCUGGUCAUGGACAUGCUUGGUCCUAGCCUUUGGGAUGUUUGGAAUUCUUUAGCUCAAUCGUAAGCACUUAAUUUGAUCAUGAUUUAUUUUCAUCUCAUAUAUAUAUGCUCAUGUAGAUAUUCUAAAUUUAUAUUAACUUGAAUACUUAACAAAUACUAGAUUGAAAAGAAUGGAUGAAAAGAUUCAGAAACUA